UCCUCGGUAGCUCAGUGGUAGAGCAAACGGCUGUUAACCGUUCGGUCGCUGGUUCGAGUCCAGCCCGGGGAGCCA
rnacentral:tRNA from 8 species